rnacentral:rRNA from 1 species
AUUGAACGCUAGCGGCAGGCCUAACACAUGCAAGUCGAGGGGCAGCACAGAAACAGCAAUGUUUUGGUGGCGACCGGCGGACGGGUGCGUAACGCGUAUGCAACCUACCUUUAACAGGGGGAUAACGGAGAGAAAUUUCCACUAAUACCCCAUAACAUCGAUCAAGGCAUCUUGAUUGGUUGAAAACUCCGGUGGUUAAAGAUGGGCAUGAGGUGUAUUAGGUAGUUGGUGAGGUAAUGGCUCACGAAGCCUACGAUACAUAGGGGGGAUGGGAGGUUAGCCGCCCACACUGGUACGGAGACACGGACCAGACUCCGACGGGAGGCAGCAGUGAGGAAUAUUGGUCAAUGGGGGCAACCCUGAAACAGCCAUGCCGCGUGCAGGAAGACGGCUCUAUGAGUUGUAAACUGCUUUUAAACAGUGAUAAAGCACAGUAUUUAUACUGUGUUGAAGGUACUGUAAGAAUAAGGAUCGGCUAACUCCGUGCCAGCCGCCGCCGUAA